rnacentral:rRNA from 1 species
AUUGAACGCUGGCGGCAGGCCUAACACAUGCAAGUCGAACGGUAACAGGAAGAAGCUUGCUUCUUUGCUGACGAGUGGCGGACGGGUGAGUAAUGUCUGGGAAACUGCCUGAUGGAGGGGGAUAACUACUGGAAACGGUAGCUAAUACCGCAUAACGUCGCAAGACCAAAGAGGGGGACCUUCGGGCCUCUUGCCAUCGGAUGUGCCCAGAUGGGAUUAGCUAGUAGGUGGGGUAACGGCUCACCUAGGCGACGAUCCCUAGCUGGUCUGAGAGGAUGACCAGCCACACUGGAACUGAAACACGGUCCAGACUCCUACGGGAGGCAGCAGUGGGGAAUAUUGCACAAUGGGCGCAAUCCUGAUGCAGCCAUGCCGCGUGUAUGAAGAAGGCCUUCGGGUUGUAAAGUACUUUCAGCGGGGAGGAGGGGAGUAAAGUUAAUACCUUUGCUCAUUGACGUUACCCGAAGAAGAAGCACCGGCUAACUCCGUG